GAGUUUGAUCAUGGUUCAGGAUGAACGUUAGCGGUGUGCCUAAUGCAUGCAAGUCGAACGUGAUACCUUGGAUUCGUCUGAGGUUGAAAGUGGCGAACGGGUGAGUAACACGUUGGUGACCUACCCCAGAGAUAGGGAUCAGACCAUUUAGAAACGAUGGCUAAUACCUUAGAUGUCCUUACUAUUAGAAGGUAAUGACUAAAGCUCCGGCGCUCUGGGAGGGGCCUGCGGACCAUCAGCUAGUUGGGGAGGGUAAUGGCCUACCAUAAGCAGGCAACGGUUAGGGGGCGUGAGAGCGUGACCCCCCACACUGGUAAUGAUACACGGACCAGAUACCUACGGGUAGCAGCAGCAAGGAAUAUUGCGCAAUGGACGAAAGUCUGAUCAGCAACACCGCGUGGAGGAUGAAGGCCUUCGGGUCGUAAACUCCUUUUCUGGGGGAAGAGAAACCGGUACCCCAGGAAUAAGUCUCGGCUAACUACGUGCCAGCAGCCGUUUUAAAACGUACAGCGAACGUUAUCCGGAUCACUGGGCGUAAAGCGCAUGCAGGCGGUUUCUUAAGUCGGAUGUGAAAGCUCCUGGCUCAACUGGGAGAGGUCAUUCGAAACUGGGAAACUUGAGGAUGGUAGAGGAAAGUGGAAUUCCCGGUGUAGUGGUGAAAUGCGUAGAUAUCGGGAGGAACACCAGUGGCGAAGGCGGCUUUCUGGGCCCAGUUCCUGACGCUAAGAUGCGAAAGCUAUAUUGAGAGAACGGGAUUAGAAACCCCGGUAUUCCUAGCCGUAAACGAUGUCAACACCGUGUAGGGGGUAUCCACCCCUCUGUGCUGCAGCUAACGCGUUAAGUUGACCGCCUGGGGACUACGGCCGCAAGGCUAAAACUCAAAGGAAUUGACGGGGGCCCGCACAAGCAGCGGAGCGUGUGGUUUAAUUCGAGGCUACGCGAAGAACCUUACCAGGGUUUGACAUGUACGUAAUAGGAAGGUGAAAGUAGGAACCGACCCUUCGGGGAGCGUAUCCCAGGUGCUGCAUGGCUUUCGUCAGCUUACUGUCGUGAGAUGUAUCGGGGGUUAAGUCCUGUAACGAGCGCAACCCUCAUCGUUAGUUGCAUGUGUCUAGCGAGACUGCCGGUGAUAAGCCGGAGGAAGGUGGGGAUGACGUCAAGUCAGCAUGGCCUUUACCGUAAUCCUGGGCUACACAGUUCACGCUACAAUGGCCGGUACAAUGGGUUGAAGUCGUGAGACGGAGCCAAUCCCCCAAAGCCGGUCUCAGUUCGGAUUGUAGGCUGCAUCUCUUGCAUGAAGUCGGAGUUGCUAUAAAUGAUGCAUCAGCAACAGCGCAUUGAAUACGUUCCCGGGCCUUGUACACACCGCCCGUCACGUCAUGGAAGUUGGCAACGCCUGAAGUCGGUAAGCUAACCUAACGGAGGCAGCCGCCCAAGGUGGGGUCGUUACUGGGACAUAGUCGUAACAAGGUACCG
rnacentral:rRNA from 1 species